GAUAAACGCUGGCGGCGUGCCUAACACAUGCAAGUCGAACGAAGCUCCCGGACUUGAGUUUUCGGACAAGGGAAAGGGAUGACUUAGUGGCGGACGGGUGAGUAAUGCGUGAGCAACCUGCCUUUCAGAGGGGGACAACAGUUGGAAACGACUGCUAAUACCGCAUAAUGUAUUCGAGUGGCAUCACUUGGAUACCAAAGAUUUUAUCGCUGAAAGAUGGGCUCACGUCUGAUUAGCUAGUUGGUGAGGUAAUGGCUCACCAAGGCUGCGAUCAGUAGCCGGACUGAGAGGUCGAACGGCCACAUUGGGACUGAGAUACGGCCCAGACUCCUACGGGAGGCAGCAGUGGGGAAUAUUGGGCAAUGGGCGCAAGCCUGACCCAGCAACGCCGCGUGAAGG
rnacentral:rRNA from 1 species